rnacentral:misc_RNA from 1 species
GUGCCCGUCCACCGAACGGUCUGCAGGCGAUCCGCGUCGGUCGCGCUGGGUGGUAUGGUUCCCCAGAGGCCGGUUCUUGUGCUGCCUACCCCCUUCAGGGGAAGAGUUCCAAACUCGAUGUAAGCCUCCAUCCGGCGCCCUCCAGAGGGCGCGGGAGGACAACGGAGCACCCCCCGCGUUCCACCGAGCCUCCUCGGUCGCGUGGCCCGUGGGGACGUGCGAUGCUCUCGGACCCAGCGAACGCCGUGGGCGAGGACUCACGUCCCGGUCCCAAGUGAAGCAACGGUAUAACGCACGACGGCCGCUCCCGCCCCCCGACCGCCCCGGCGGCGCGGGGGCGAUGGCGCGGCGUCGCUGAGGAAUGCU